CCACCCGAGAAGCACGUUCACUCACUCGCUCACUCGCUCUCACUUCGCGUAUAUCGUAUACGGUCAUACGCACAAGCCGAGCUCGACUGUCGUCGCAGGACGAGGUGAGCAGCUCAUGAGCAUCUCCUUGCUCUUCUCUGUCUUUCCGUAGUAUUUUUCUGUAUUUCUUCUUGUAUUUGUCUAUACCGAUUCACUGCCAAGAACUUCACGAACUAAACCAUGACAUACAGAAGCGCUCUAAUUAUCCCUGCUAAUUUAUCACUUCUCAUGCAUAUGUGGACCAUAAGCAUUAACUUCAUGCACUACCAGUCAAGUAAAUGCCCACGUGAAGCAUCCAUUCCUUAAUCAUCGUUAGUCUUUUUCGCAUGAUUAAAUUUCAGUCAUUUUACAAAUACCACAUGCUAACUCUGAUUUCAAUAAUUCUUUUUCCUAAAUUCAUCUAAAAUCAUGAUCUACCUCCCAUAUUAAUUUCAUGAUUUUUAGAGCUUAUUUGAAUUUAUGUGAUUAUUUAUCUGUGCUUGUUGUCUGUGUCGGUCGUCGCGUAUUUUAGCUGACGGAGUGAACGAGCCGGAAAACGAGAACGUUGGAGACGAGUACCGCGAGUUUGACGCCGAGGACCCGGACUGUCAGCAAGAGUUUGCCGAGGACGCCGACGGAGGCAAGUCCAACCGAUUCCCUUUGAUGCAUUUUGAUCCUAUUUUUAAACACAACCCGUAGAAGCCGUUUAAAAUAUUGUAUGUACGAUAUAUGUACGAAGUAUUUUCGCUGCUU
rnacentral:lncRNA from 1 species